CACCACUCAAGCCUGGCUUGGUAUUGGGCGACGGGACCUCCCCGCGCCUCCAUUUCGCCGGCUGGACGACCCGAUUCUCAGCGUUGUGACAACAAAUUCGCUAAUGGAGAGGGUGGUUUGCGCCGUUAAACAUCAUCUAAGG
rnacentral:misc_RNA from 1 species